AUAGUUACCUGGACGGUAUCAAUGGGUGACCUCCGUUGCACUUAGGAGGGGUACUAGCCUAAGGUCUCCCAAGUGGGAGAUCCUUCGUCGUAAUUUGUGGCAGAAGGGGCUGAGCAAGUCACGGCCCCUG
rfam:Populus trichocarpa scaffold_30_contig_4, whole genome shotgun sequence.